rnacentral:lncRNA from 1 species
CGAAAAAUCGGCUAAGUCCUGAGAAAUUAGCUCUCGGGAACCGGUCCCUGCCUGAGAGACCGGUCCCCGAGAGACCGGUCCCCUAAAGAGAGACCGGUUGCACCGCGCGCGGCAGCUCUGGCUGCGCUGGGACGACCUUCGGGAACCGGUCCUUGAAGGAGAGACCGGUCCCUGCCUGCGCGAACUGCCCAUUUCGGGCAGUGUAUUAGAGUUAAAGUUGAGGGGUUUA